GACGAACGCUGGCGGCGCGCUUAACACAUGCAAGUCGAACGGAAAGGCCUGCUUUCCCUUGUGGAUUGCGGGUACUCGAGUGGCGAACGGGUGAGUAACACGUGAGUGAUCUGCCCCCAACUUGGGUAUAAGCCUGGGAAACUGGGUCUAAUUCCCGAUAGGACUGCAGGGUGGUGCCUGUGGUGGAAAACGAUUUUCUAGUGGUUGGGGAUGAGCUCGCGGCCUAUCAGCUUGUUGGUGGGGGAAUGGCCUACCAAGGCGGCGACGGGUAGCCGGCCUGGGAGGGUGGACGGCCGCGUUGGGACUGAGAUACGGCCCAGGCUCCUCCGGGAGGCAGCCGUGGGGAAUAUUGCACGAUGGGCGGAAGCCUGAUGCAGCGACGCCGCGUGGGGGAUGACGGCCUUCGGGUUGUAAACUCCUUUCGACCGCGAGGAAGCCACCUGGUUGGAAGGGUGGUGACGGUAGUGGUAGAAGAAGCACCGGCUAACUACGUG
rnacentral:rRNA from 1 species